GAUUUUGAAGUGGAGCUCCCAUCAAACCAAUGAAGGGUUGUUUCGAUGGGUGGUACAGCUGCUUGUUCACGGUUCCCACUAUCCUAUUUCAUCAGCGAGCGAGAGCGAUUGUGAGAUGUAAUUGGUUUGAGAUAGGCUUGUGGUUUGCAUGACCAAGGAGCUGCAUCAUCCCCUUGCUGACCGCUCUUUGGUUUGAAGGGAGCUCUACAUCUUGAUCCC
rfam:Dichanthelium oligosanthes cultivar Kellogg 1175 unplaced genomic scaffold Do_version_2_scaffold172, whole genome shotgun sequence.